UGUGCUUGUUUUUUUCUAAUCAAAACAUACACAAUUUUAUUUUUUUGUUACUUCAGAUAUUGCGUUCCAUGAUUCGAUAGUGCUUAAAAUUUCGGGCAAUAAAGUGCAUAUCGCUCGGUGACGCACAAAUCAAACAAAUCAAUUUUUUGUUUGACUGAAAAAAAAAAACACACACACAUACACGCAAAAAGCAAAGUCGACGCGACUUGGCCAAAAUCAAAGCAGAGCGAGCACACACACAUUAUGUUCAAUAGAUAUGGGCGGAUUCCUGGAUAAGCCGAAAACCGCAAAGCACAAUGAUAAGGGCGAGGGCAACAAGCUGCUCUUCGGCGUCAGCUCCAUGCAGGGAUGGCGUUGCGAAAUGGAGGAUGCCUACUAUGCUCGGGCCCGUCUAGGCAAUGCACUGGAGGAAUGGAGUUUCUUUGCUGUGUUCGAUGGACACGCGGGCUGCAAGGUGUCCGAGCAUUGUGCCAAUCAUUUGCUUGACAGCAUCAUCAGCACAGAGGAAUUCAAGAGCGGUGAUUAUGUGAAGGGCAUUCGUACUGGUUUCCUACGCAUCGAUGAAGUAAUGCGAGAGCUGCCCGAAUUUACGCAGGACGAGGAGAAAUGCGGUGGCACCACUGCCGUUAGCGCCUUCAUCAGCUCCACGCAAGUCUACAUUGCCAAUUGCGGCGAUUCGCGAGCUGUGCUCUGCCGCCAGGGGGUGCCGGUGUUUGCCACCCAGGAUCAUAAGCCCAUUUUGCCCGAGGAGAAGGAGCGUAUACAUAAUGCUGGCGGCAGUGUGAUGGUGCAGCGUGUUAAUGGAAUGCUCGCGGUGUCACGCGCUCUCGGCGACUAUGACUUUAAGAAUGUUAAGGAGAUGGGUCAGUGCGAGCAGUUGGUCUCACCGGAACCGGAAAUCUUUUGCCAAAGCCGUCAGGACACCGACGAGUUCCUAGUGCUCGCCUGUGACGGCAUCUGGGAUGUGAUGAGCAAUGAGGAUGUAUGCAGUUUCAUAUACUCGAGGCUGAAAGUGACCUCUGAUCUGGUGAAUAUUGCCAAUCAGGUCGUCGACACCUGUUUGCACAAGGGUAGCCGUGAUAAUAUGAGCAUCAUAAUAAUUGCUUUUCCCGGAGCACCGAAGCCAACUGAAGAGGCGAAAGAGGCUGAGCGACGUCUGGAGAAGCACAUCGAGAAGAUCACAAGAGAGGAGAUUGAGAGUAAUGAUGUCACGGACUACGUUGAACUGUUAAAGUGUCUGGAAAUCAGAGACGACAUUGAAGGUCUUCCACCCGGCGGCGGCUUGCACUCCAAAUAUCACAUUAUCAAGCGAAUAUUCACGGAGUUGUUUCCGGAUGAUCCAUGUGAACUGUAUGGAAAUAUUGAGCUAUGAAUUUUUUAAUCCAAACUAUUGUUCAUUUUAAAAUCAACCUAAACAUGCAAAACAACCAAACAAAACAAUCAAGCAACAUGAGAACAAACGAAUCUAAACAAACAACCCUUUAAACACACAAAUUUAUAUUUUAAAUGUAAGACGAAAACGAUUCUAUUGUUUGCGUCCUUUUCUUUAUUUUACGUUCAUCUAUUAACCAAACCAAUUAAAAUCUAUUGUAACCAUUAAUGGCAGCACGCAUAACAACCGCAUCUGCAUGUUCGCUCUUUUUAUCCUGCAUGCUCAUUAUAAUUAUAAUAAAUAUAUUAAAUUAUCAGUAAUAAUAAUAAUAAUUCAUCUUACACAUACACACAAACCACACACAUAUCAAAUAUUUGCAUCAUAGUCCAACGCAUUAAAAAUGAAAACAAACAAACAGAAACAGUCAAACAAAUGCAACAAUAACAACAACAGUACGUUACAGCAACUCACAAACAACACAUACACACACACACAUACCGAACACACACACACACACAACAAAACAAAUAAAACAAACACUAUUACCAAACCGUUUUCUACUUUGAUAAAAAAAAGAAAA